GACGAACGCUGGCGGCGUGCUUAACACAUGCAAGUCAAGGAGAACGGAAAUCUUCGGAAUUCCUAGUAAACUGGCGAACGGGUGAGUAACACGUAGGUAAUCUGCCUUCAGGACAGGGAUAACCUUGCUAACGCGGGGCUAAUACCCGAUAACAUUCUUUUGUCGCAUGGCAUAAGAAUCAAAGCUGUCCCGACUUGUCGGGAUACCACCUGAAGAUGAACCUGCGUCCCAUUAGCUAGUUGGUAAGGUAACGGCUUACCAAGGCAACGAUGGGUAGCCGGCCUGAGAGGGUGUUCGGCCACACUGGGACUGAGAUACGGCCCAGACUCCUACGGGAGGCAGCAGUGAGGAAUAUUGCGCAAUGGGCGAAAGCCUGACGCAGCAACGCCGCGUGGAUGAUGAAGCUCUAAGGAGUGUAAAGUCCUGUU
rnacentral:rRNA from 1 species